rnacentral:rRNA from 1 species
UACACACCGCCCGUCACAUCACGAAAGCCAGUUGUACCAGAAGCCGGCGAUUUAACCGCAAGGGAAUAGCCGUCCAAGGUAUGACUGGUGAUUGGGGUG